UUCCUUGAAAAGAACAGCUGAGAGGGUGAAACUCCCGUCCGCCUGGUAGAAUGAGUCUUUGUCAACGAGUCGAGUUGUUUGGGAUUGCAGCUCUAAUUUGGUGGUAAAUUCCAUCUAAAGCUAAAUAUUGGUGGGAGACCGAUAGCGUACAAGUACCGUGAGGGAAAGAUGCAAAGAACUUUGAAAAGAGAGUUAAAGAGUACCUGAAAUUGCUGAAACGGAAGCGAGGGAAACCAGUGUUUGUUGGUUCAUAUUUCCCUGGCCACUUGUGGUUUGGGCG
rnacentral:rRNA from 1 species